GGAGAGAUGGCUUAAAGGGGUGUGUGACCUCUUUCACGAGCUGCUCCAGGAUGGAAAUGAGUCUGAUCAGGCUGUUGGCGGGGAAAUACCCCGCCAAACCAGUAACCAGUACGGGCCUUGAGAGAGGGGGCCCGGAGAUGGACACUGAGAGAAGGGUCCAGGUCCUACGGGGCGCAGCAGGCGCGAAACCUUCGCAAUGCGCGAAACUGACGAGUUAAUCCGAGUGCUCCCGCUGAGGGGAACUUUGUCGGCUGUAAAUAGGCCGGCGAAUAAGGAGAGGGCAAGUCUGGUGUCCCCCGCCGCGGUAAUACCAGCUCCUCGAGUGGUCGGGCGAUUAUUGGGCCUAAAGCAUCCGUAGCCGGUUCUGUAGGUCCUCUGUUAAAUCCAACGGCUUAACCGUUGGCCCGCAGAGGAUACCGCAGGACUAGGAGGCGGGAGAGGCAGACGGUACUCUACGUGUAGGGGUAAGUCCUUUGAUCCGUCAAGACCACCAGUGGCGAAGGCGGUCUGCCAGAUCGCGCUCGACGGUGAGGGAUGAAGCUGGGGGAGCGAACCGGAUUAGAUACCCGGGUAGUCCCAGCCGUAAACGAUGCCAGCUAGAUGAUUCGGUCGCAAUUCGCGAUCGAAGUGUCGCAGGGCAGCCGUUAAGCUCGCCGCCUGGGGAGUACGGACGCAAGACUGAAACUUAAAGGAAUUGGCGGG
rnacentral:rRNA from 1 species